ensembl:snRNA U6 U6 spliceosomal RNA
GUACUCACUUUGGCAGCACAUAUACUAAAAUUGGAAUGAUACAGAGAAGAUUAACAUGGCCCCUGCACACAGGGUACAUAGGGCAGGGGCAAUUCACAAAUUUGU